rnacentral:rRNA from 1 species
CCGCAUGGUUCUAAAGUGAAAGAUGGUUUUGCUAUCACUUAUAGAUGGACCCCGCGCCGUAUUAGCUAGUUGGUAAGGUAACGGCUUACCAAGGCAACGAUACGUAGCCGACCUGAGAGGGUGAUCGGCCACACUGGAACUGAGACACGGUCCAGACUCCUACGGGAGGCAGCAGUAGGGAAUCUUCCGCAAUGGGCGAAAGCCUGACGGAGCAACGCCGCGUGAGUGAUGAAGGUCUUCGGAUCGUAAAACUCUGUUAUUAGGGAAGAACAAAUGUGUAAGUAACUGUGCACGUCUUGACGGUACCUAAUCAGAAAGCCACGGCUAACUACGUGCCAGCAGCCGCGGUAAUACGUAGGUGGCAAGCGUUAUCCGGAAUUAUUGGGCGUAAAGCGCGCGUAGGCGGUUUCUUAAGUCUGAUGUGAAAGCCCACGGCUCAACCGUGGAGGGUCAUUGGAAACUGGGAAACUUGAGUGCAGAAGAGGAAAGUGGAAUUCCAUGUGUAGCGGUGAAAUGCGCAGAGAUAUGGAGGAACACCAGUGGCGAAGGCGACUUUCUGGUCUGUAACUGACGCUGAUGUGCGAAAGCGUGGGGAUCAAACAGGAUUAGAUACCCUGGUAGUCCACGCCGUAAACAAAUGAGUGCUAAGUGUUAGGGGGUUUCCGCCCCUUAGUGCUGCAGCUA